rnacentral:rRNA from 1 species
AUGCUUCUCGCCAUGGGAUUGUCCAGAAGCUACUCUUCGAUCUACGAGGCCGUCAACAUCCUCGACAUGGAGUCCGACUACGCCGUCAUGCCGUUCAGCUACAAGCUGCGUCCGUACGGCGAGACGCCCGCCACGAGUCAUGACCGUGUGGUCUACGUUGUUGUCAGCCACGACGAUCAACUUUACCUUCUCAACCUCUCCAACGGCGUUGCCUCCCUUUUGCCUGACCCCGCACUACAUAAAGACUACGAAUGCUACUCGUUCACCGUUGGGGCCGUAACCUCCACUAGAGAGCACAAGGUGUUCUCCAUCCACACCUCACUGUGCCGCCACGAGCCGCAGAUCUGCAAGAUCCUCACCAUGACUGGCGGCGGCUGGAGGGAUACAGGUAACCCUCCACUAAAGGCGGUAUCAGGCUGGGGCGGCGUCCCUACCAUCAAUGGAGUUGCAUACUUUGCACCUAGUCGGGACUGGUACUCGGAGUCCAAGGACCUAAACACACAGCUGGUCAUGGCGUUCGACCUCCACAGCGAAACGUGGCGGUCGGAAGCCUUCCAAGGCCCCGCAAACCGCCCGGGCGCCAGCUUGGUUGAGAUGAACGGCCACCUGGUCGCAAGCUACGCCGACCACGACCAGCAAUUAGUUGAGUUAUGGUUCCUGGUGGACCCAGACCUAUCUCUAUGGUCCAAGAGGUACACCAUCACCAUGCCUUGCCACCAAAAUCCCGGGCACAGGGAGUGGUUGAUGAAGCCGUUGGCGAUUCUCGAUGAUGGGAGGAUCGUGUUGUGGAUGCGGGUACACUUGCCGGGGUUCGACCCCGGGGAUGCGGUGCUACGGAUCUAUGACCCAAGAACCAAGACAUUUGGGGCCAGGAAAAGGGUGCCCAUAUGCAGCAGAAUAAGUGCUUUUGCAUGGAACUUGUUGCAUUCAGGGCCGACAUCUGAAUUAGACAGGCUAGCAAAACGUAUGAUAAUUAGUAGACCACAUGUUUUCAACAACGACUAUCUUCCUCGGUAUAACUUGGAGACACAUGACUCACCACCAACAUGGAGAUGGAUGGCCUCCUACUCUACGGCUUUCUUCAACGCAAGGACUGGACGCCAUGCCGGCAUGCUCCUCCUCGACAGGCAAUCAGGGUGGACCUAUCUGUGCGAUGCCACGGGAGCCAUUGUCACAUGCCGCCAUUUGAGAGAAGGGGAGAAGAUCCUUGCGGGAAAAGAGAUCGUUAUAGAUGACUGUGCUAUCUCCGUCGGGGUUCGGAUUUUCCCCAAGAUGAUUUCUUCGGUGUCAACGUCCACGAUGAUUUUGUUGCCGCCUUCGGGUUCCCGUUUCCAAUGCUUGGCAGAGGAGCAGAGAUAUGAUGUUCAUGAGGUUACGGAGGAGGUGGCGCGCGUGUCCUUAGACAACGAUGACGAUGGAUUGUGGACGAAGGUGUCUCGCAAGAAGAAGUCAAAGGGGGAGCUCGUUAAGUAG